GAAGCCUCGCCUGCUGUUGUCCCGGGAGCGCACGUGCGCUGCGGUGGGGCGCCGAGGGGCGUUCGGCGGGUGCCCCUAGGGGACUGGGGGACAGGGAACGCGAAGUGGGUAGAGACGCUGCCUGAGAGGUCCCGACGUAGGCUGUUGCCUCGGCCCCGGCAUUGUGCUGCGGUGCAAAAAUAAAAAACCGGCCGCCGCCGCAGCAGCAGCAGUAGCACCGGGAAGAGGCAUCCUCCGAGACUACGGCAGUGGCUCCUCUCUACUCCCAGCUGACCCCCAGAACACUGUCACCGCGCCGCGGAGGAGAGGGGGCUUUGCCUCAAGUCAGGAAGAUCCUCGCCUCUCCAUCCCUUGCACAUUUGGGUCUAGAAUGGACGCGCCCCGGUUAUUAUUUGGAAUCCGGGGGCCUAAAAGUUCCUUCAGUUGGCUUCUUCAUUCAGAGUUAUGGACCAGAAAAUUGAAAGUGGCAUGGCAGGGGAGAGAAAGGACAAGAAAGGGUGAAAGAGUGGCCAAACUGAAGCCCCCAAAGGCGGUGCAGCACUUCCACCUGCAACGACCAUCUGUGUCACAGAAUACAGGAAAGAUAUCUUGACAUUCUACCGCGUUCUAUUUUCAUUUUUUUCUUUCAAGCGUGUACCUUUCACUUCUGACUCAGUUUGGUAUCUAAAUAAAUGUUGGGGGUGAUUAACCUACAGAAUUCACUCUUAUUCUCAAGUCUACCGAUGCCAAAUACUGCAUCAUCUAAUGUCACUGCAGUAAUUUGGGUCCACUCAGCAUUUAGUCAUUUCAGUGGGAGUCACUGAAUAUAAAACGUGGCCUUGACCGCGAUUAGCAGAAUGUCAAGGGCAUACGUGAAGCAGGAUUUCACCACAUCCUGGAGAGAAAUUAGAGAGUGAACAUGCACAAUAAUCCCACUCUUCCAGCUUCAGUGUAAUCAAAGUUGCUUUAAAGAACAAGUACUAGGGAAGGGAUGGAAUGAGAAGAUUUGCCUAGAAGCACAAACUAGGAUGGGAAAAUUUGAAAGAAGCCAACUUGAAAUAAAUGCAUGGCAGCCCUCUGCUGGAAAUAGUCAGGUGCACCUGAGAUUCAUAAGGGUCUUCAUGGAUACCUCCUAAGUGCUACAGAAACAGCAAGGAGAAAGUCCACCAGAAGAGUGCAAUCCUUCUCCACUCUCUUUCGUCCCCUUUACUACUGGAGGGGAGAAGACAAAGGGUCCUUACAUUUACAUUUCCACCACCGCCUCUAGUUACCAUACCUGGGGCAGUUGGCUGUAACUCUUUCCAUGCCCACAAGAACACAGCAUUAAAAACAAAACCACAUUCAAGUACAGUGACUCCAGCUAAGCUGUGGCGUGUUGAUUAGCCAAACCAUUGGCAUUUCACAUGCCCAGUCCUUGCUGUUCUUUGAUGGGCAAGUAACCCCGAAGAAGAGAGCAAUUUUUCCAUCGUCACCCAUUUUAUAAUUACUAGCCCUGCUUCUGGGCUGGCUGUCACAUCCUACACCUCCCCAAAUCCUCUGGUGCAACUUUUUGGGAGAGUUAAAACCUCCUCGAUGUCACCUUGGUACUAUAAUGAUGUCCUUUGACAGAAGAAACAAAGUCAACCACCAUGUUCUCCCUGAGAAGUUCAGGAAAGUUUGAUUCUUCCUUUUCCAAAGGAGAAAAGUAUCUUCAAGGAGAUGACUAAAUCUUACUCAGAAGCAUCCUUCUUCAUUAAGUUCUCAUCUGUAUGGUACCAUGCUGGAGGCUGGGCAAAGAAAAGCAAAUAAUGAGACCCUUCCAUUUCUCUAUGCUUUGGGUUUAAGAUCGACAAAACCCACAAAAGCUAAUCUCCGAGUAUACAGACAUCAAACAGCUGUGCAAACAUUGGACAGAUGCAUAAAUUAAAUACAAAAGUAAAUAAAGUAUUUACAUUAUGUACAAGUCAUGCAGCUGCUGUUACUACACUCCACGAAGGCUCCAGAGGGAAGGAGGGACAUUAAGCUGAGCAGAUUGUCUUUUUCGGUCGGGGAUGGUGUCAGCAGGAAGGAGCAGAAAGGUCACACAUGGCUCGAGGAACAAAGACAAACUGUUACAUAAACUCUUGUCUGCUGGUGCACAACCUCUAAACGUAGUCUUCAGAAUGAAGCAACUUUGUUUCUCAGAAAUAACUUUUAUAUCUCAGACUAUGCUUUUAGGAAUCUGUGUCAGUAACUAAUUUUAAAGUGUCAGGGAUGGCCCCAUGGCCAGCAACAGCAGGAACCCAAUGAGAUGACCUAAGAGAUCACAAGAACUGUC
rnacentral:lncRNA from 1 species